AUGGAAGAAAAGCUCUCUUCUAUGCGACAAGAUGUCAUUCAGGAAUUUGUGGCGCUUUAUCAAAGAGUAGGGCCUUAUCUACCGAUCGAGCCCUACUUGGUCGAUGAAGCACUUCGUUCCUAUCUGGACCAUAUUCACGCAACUGAUUCUUUCACUGUUCUCCAAGCGUCUUAUCAAGAUCUGCGGGAGAAUGAGGGAGGAUCCGUUUUCUUUCAAAAUGUUGUUUCCCACAACCGGGAUCUCCUUGAGGCGGAAAGCUCCGCAAGGAGGUGCCUGGAAGUGGAACAGAGGAUCCGGUGGGAAGAAAUCCCCAAGAGCAAGGCAAGUCUCGAAAGAGCUGAGCACGAGCAUGCUCUCGACUUGUUUAAGUCGGAGGAUCUUAGAAGGGAAUUAGAAAAAAAGAGCGGGGUAGCUCAGUAA
rnacentral:rRNA from 1 species